GGGCCCGCACAAGCGGUGGAGCAUGUGGUUUAAUUCGAUGAUACGCGAGGAACCUUACCAGGGCUUAAAUGUAAGUUGCAUAGACCAGAGAUGGUCUUUUCUUCGGACUACUUACAAGGUGCUGCAUGGUUGUCGUCAGCUCGUGCCGUGAGGUGUCAGGUUAAGUCCUAUAACGAGCGCAACCCCUGUCGUUAGUUGCCAGCAAGUUAAGUUGGGCACUCUAGCGAGACUGCCGGUGCAAACCGCGAGGAAGGUGGGGAUGACGUCAAAUCAUCACGGCCCUUACGUCCUGGGCUACACACGUGCUACAAUGGCCGGUACAGAGAGCAGCCACUCCGCGAGGAGGAGCGAAUCUAUAAAACCGGUCUCAGUUCGGAUCGCAGUCUGCAACUCGACUGCGUGAAGCUGGAAUCGCUAGUAAUCGGAUAU
rnacentral:rRNA from 1 species